AAAUAAGAAUGUAAUAAGACUCCUAUACGGAAAGAAAUCCAACUGCUCCACCACAAAGAGGUCAAAGGUUGGGGUCAGUAAUAGAACAGCCAGUUUCUUCUAUUACAAUGUGUUGCUCAAGGACAGCAAGCGUGCUGAGCUCUCAGGGACACCAAGCUAUGCUUUUAACUCCCCUGACCUGCAAGAAUGGCUUCUUGACAGCCACCAAGACCUUUUCUGAUGAGCCUUCUGCAAACAAUGGAUGGAUCAACUGAAGGUCUAAAUGCAUCUCUUGGGUUCUGUGUCAAGUCUUUGCUGGAUUUUUCCUAUUUCUUAAAGAUAUAACUAACAGAUACUGUUCAUUUGCUAUAUAUAGCUCUUUAGGCCUGCCACUUCUGUUUCUG
ensembl:lncRNA